GCCGCUACUCGGAGCAUUUUAAAAGACAUGGCUGUCUUAAAAACUCAAAAUGAGGCCAUUUUGAACCUCUUAGGUAGUAACCGUGAGUGCGAGAUGGAUGAGCAGCCUGUACAGACAUACCCGCUAAGGACAGUUGAUGAAAUUGACCAUCUGGAACGUAACUUGAAAAGCUCCAGCAGCACGCGCAGGCAACUGUGCAAAGUCCUAGGUCACAUUGGCGGCAACACAGUGCGCUCAACAACAGCAAACAUCUUGAAAUAUUUACUUCACGAUUCCGUCGCUGUCAUGUACAGUCUCCAUGGGCAAAAAGGAAAAAGAGCCUUGGGUGAGACGGAGUUGUGCCGCAUAAUUCUGGAGUCUGUACGAAAAAAUGCAGCAACAGCAUCUGCUUCAGACGCAGAGAUCCGUACAGGCAUGAUGGGAUGGCUAAAGAAUGCGCAAGCCCGUCUUGAUGCAGCCAUG